AACGAACUAGCUCAACGGUAGAGCACGAGACUGCAACUCUCGAUUUGAAGGUUCGACUCCUUCGUUCAUCG
rnacentral:tRNA from 2 species